CCAGCUCCAACAGCGUAUAUUUAAGUUGUUGCAGUUAAAAAGCUCGUAGUCGGACCUUGGGCUGGGGCGGGCGGUCCGCCUCUGGGUGUGUACCGGCCGUCUCGUCCCUACUGCCGGCGACUCGUUCCUGGCCUUAGCUGGCCGGGUCGUGCCACCGGCGCCGUUACUUUGAAGAAAUUAGAGUGCUCAAAGCAAGCCCACGCUCUGCAUACAUUAGCAUGGGAUAACAUCACAGGAUCUCGGUCCUAUUGUGUUGGCCUUCGGGAUCGGGGUAAUGAUUAAGAGGGACAGUCGGGGGCAUUCGUAUUCCAUAGUCAGAGGUGAAAUUCUUGGAUUUAUGGAAGACGAACAACUGCGAAAGCAUUUGCCAAGGAUGUUUUCA
rnacentral:rRNA from 1 species